GCACCAAGUGGAGAUACUACACGGAGUACUCUGUCUCCCUCUCGUCUUCCUCCUCCUCUCCUUCCGCCGCGGCGCACCACGCACGACGGCAUACCCCCUCCCCCUCCGAUCUCCCGCCGAAACCUCCCCCGCGCGUCGUGGAGCAGACCAGAUCCCGACUGCGCCGCGGUUUGCGCUAGCCGCAGCAGCUCACCCGUAGAUUCCCCCCCCCCCCCCCCCCCCGCGCGCCGGCCGCGGCGCUUGUUCGCCUUCCGGCGAUGCCGACGCCGAACGGUACACCUCGGUGGCAGCGCUACUCCGCCGUUCUCGCCGCAAGCUGGAAGGAUUUUUCUCACUUCUCAGGGGAGUUUUACCUCCCUUGCACUGAGAAUAUGAGGUCCCUUCUGCUUACAUACCUGAGAAGCCAGUUCAUGGAAGAAACUAAGCCCUCCUAUACAGGGCCCUAAUCGUCCUCCCUCAUGUAUUUAAAUCAAAGAAUACUUACAAGCUAUGGCGAAAAGUUUAUCAAGAGAUCCUGAACAUCUGUUGUACUCUCCAAAGUGUUGAUGCAUCAUCUGUAAAGAUUUUUCCAUCACCUCGGUAGAGAACCUGUGAUCUUGGUUCAUCUUCUGCCGAAUACGAAAGAAUUCUAAUCAUCAUUCUGCAUAAAAAGUUGGAUCAUGCAAGUAAAUGAGACACCAUGGAAAAGAUAGACUUUUUCUAUAACAGCAAACUGAGAGGCAGCAUGGAUUGUGUCCCUCUGCAGUAUGGAAAGAUGAGAACGAUUAAGAGGUUUAAAUGCACUUGAUAUUUGCAAAAAUAGAAGUUAUUUUGCAAAUCCACAAAGCAGGAAUAUCAACAUCAUCAAAAUUGCUAUAGGAUUUCUUGAAGUUAUUGGAAGAGUACGUACAAAAUUCCUGGUCCGGCAACUUCCCUGAACAACCAGAUUUGUCAUGUUACCUAUGAGGGUCCAGAGAGAUCAUGGAACUGGAUGUGACAAUUAGUGAAAAAGAAACAUCUUGUUGUCAGGAGGACGUGAAGAAAUGUACACAGAUUGCUUUGGCUUCAGUUUUCCCUGCCUUUAUCACGGACUUCCUGGGAGCUUAUGGCUUGCAGGAAGCCUAACUCAGAGAUCUGGUCGACCUCGUGUCCAAUGCUUUCUUGUAAUUUCUUCACAUGCAUCUACUUGAUCACUUUGUUUCGUGUGUCGCCUUCAGCUCGGCUAGCUUGUGAUCCCGAGUUCUAGAAAAGCAUCUGGAAAUGAAUUGAGUUCUACUUUCAGGAAGGGAUAAGCUUGAUUCUGUGCUCCGAUCGAUUAGGUCACUAAUGCGAAAUUGUUUCA